rnacentral:rRNA from 1 species
UACGGGGGGGGCAAGCGUUGUUCGGAAUUACUGGGCGUAAAGGGCUCGUAGGCGGCCAACUAAGUCGGAUGUGAAAUCCCCAGGCUUAACCUGGGAACUGCAUCCGAUACUGGAUGGCUUGAAUCCGGGAGAGGAAUGCGGAAUUCCAGGUGUAGCGGUGAAAUGCGUAGAUAUCAAGAGGAACACCUGCGGCGAAGGCGGGUUGCUGGGCUGACACUGACGCUGAGGCGCGAAAGCUAGGGGAGCGAACGGG